GCACGCUGACACGUAGGUGAAGUGAUUUACUCACGGAGCUGAAGUCAGCCGAAGAUACCAGCUGGCUGCAACUGUUUAUUAAAAACACAGCACUGUGCAAACACGAAAGUGGACGUAUACGGUGUGACGCCUGCCCGGUGCCGGAAGGUUAAUUGAUGGGGUCAGCGCAAGCGAAGCUCCUGAUCGAAGCCCCGGUAAACGGCGGCCGUAACUAUAACGGUCCUAAGGUAGCGAAAUUCCUUGUCGGGUAAGUUCCGACCUGCACGAAUGGCGUAAUGAUGGCCAGGCUGUCUCCACCCGAGACUCAGUGAAAUUGAACUCGCUGUGAAGAUGCAGUGUACCCGCGGCAAGACGGAAAGACCCCGUGAACCUUUACUAUAGCUUGACACUGAACAUUGAGCCUUGAUGUGUAGGAUAGGUGGGAGGCUUUGAAGUGUGGACGCCAGUCUGCAUGGAGCCGACCUUGAAAUACCACCCUUUAAUGUUUGAUGUUCUAACGUGGACCCGUGAUCCGGGUUGCGGACAGUGUCUGGUGGGUAGUUUGACUGGGGCGGUCUCCUCCUAAAGAGUAACGGAGGAGCACGAAGGUUGGCUAAUCCUGGUCGGACAUCAGGAGGUUAGUGCAAUGGCAUAAGCCAGCUUGACUGCGAGCGUGACGGCGCGAGCAGGUGCGAAAGCAGGUCAUAGUGAUCCGGUGGUUCUGAAUGGAAGGGCCAUCGCUCAACGGAUAAAAGGUACUCCGGGGAUAACAGGCUGAUACCGCCCAAGAGUUCAUAUCGACGGCGGUGUUUGGCACCUCGAUGUCGGCUCAUCACAUCCUGGGGCUGAAGUAGGUCCCAAGGGUAUGGCUGUUCGCCAUUUAAAGUGGUACGCGAGCUGGGUUUAGAACGUCGUGAGACAGUUCGGUCCCUAUCUGCCGUGGGCGCUGGAGAACUGAGGGGGGCUGCUCCUAGUACGAGAGGACCGGAGUGGACGCAUCACUGGUGUUCGGGUUGUCAUGCCAAUGGCACUGCCCGGUAGCUAAAUGCGGAAGAGAUAAGUGCUGAAAGCAUCUAAGCACGAAACUUGCCCCGAGAUGAGUUCUCCCUGAGACUUUAGGUCUCCUGAAGGAACGUUGAAGACGACGACGUUGAUAGGCCGGGUGUGUAAGCGCAGCGAUGCGUUGAGCUAACCGGUACUAAUGAACCGUGAGGCUUAACCUU
rnacentral:rRNA from 3 species